UAAAGACUCUUGGCAACGGAUAUCUAGGCUCUUGCAUCGAURAAGAACGUAGCGAAAUGCGAUACUUGGUGUGAAUUGCAGAAUCCCGUGAAUCAUCGAGUCUUUGAACGCAAGUUGCGCCCGAAGCCUUUUGGCCGAGGGCACGUCUGCCUGGGCGUCAUGA
rnacentral:rRNA from 1 species